rnacentral:lncRNA from 1 species
GGUCGAUGCCACUGCUGGUGGACGUUUCGUCCCCGAGGGUAUCACCAGCCCAGUAGUCAGCACUUCGGUGUUGACAUGAAUAUCAAUUAUGUGAUCAUUUUUAUAAAUUUCCUGAUACAAAACUUUGAAUUUUUCGAAAAACUAAGGAUUUUCUUGUCCCAGGAAUAGAUUACCUUAGCCGUAUUUGGCACAACUUUUUGGAAUUUUGGAUCCUCUAUGCUCUUCAACUUUGUAUUGUUUGGCUUUAUAACUAUUUUGAUAUGAGCGUCACUGAUGAGUCUUGUGUAGACGAAACGCGCGUCUGGCGUACUAAAUUAUAAUCCUG